rnacentral:lncRNA from 1 species
GGGCGCUGGCCCGCCGUGACAGCCCCGCGCUCCAGACCCCAGCGAUCCCGGACCGCAGCCGCCACGUUUGAGGACACCGGGCUGCAAGGAGCCUUGCAGAGCAAAGGAAAGGUUUGGACAGAAACGCCCGAGAGCUGCGUGGAGUGACUGCCGACGUGCGUGGGCACUUUUCCGUGUUUCGUCCCAGAGUUCUUGAUCGUGCUCACCCGAAGCUCCCUGUGAAGCCCAGGUGCUGCGCAGGGCUGACCCCGUUAUCUACGCUAUGGUCGCACCCCCACCGCGCGGGGCAUCGUGGACGCGGGAAGAAAUCAAAGGGGAUUUUCUGCCGGGAGUCCUCCCGCGGUGCUGCUGUGCUUAUGCAGUUAGCGUGCCCCUGUUCUUUGCUUUCUGGUGACCAGCAAAAGCUAGUAUUCAUAUUCCGAAAUGUCCUCCUACCUUCCUUGGUCUCACCUUUCGUAGGAGUAGGGUGUGACAGCUCAGUGAAGUAAAAGGCCUCUGUACAAAGAGUUUGGGUGAGUAUUGGAACCCCAGCACAGGUCUGACCAAAGUCCUUUGACUACUGAAUAUCCAGGCUCUUCUGUUUUUCUCCAGGUGAACUUGAGCAAAUAGAAUGGGUUAGAAUACUACUCAGCCAUAAAGAGUGAGAAAGUAGAUUCAUUCAUAGUUAAGUGGGUACAUUUUGAGGAUAUACUUCUAAGUGAAAUAAAUAAGGCACACAUAUGUAAAUACCAAAUAGUAUCUCUGGUGUGAAAAACUAAAAUAGUACUCAAGAUCCAAAUGGGGCACUUAGCAAAUAGGAAGAAAAGGACCAAAGGUGUAGGGAC